AGUGAACGCUGGCGGCGUGCCUAAUACAUGCAAGUCGAACGAACGAAUAAGAGCUUGCUCUUAUAAGUUAGUGGCGCACGGGUGAGUAAUAUAUAGCUAACCUGCCUCUUAGUAGAGGAUAACAGUCGGAAACGAUUCCUAAUACUCUAAACUUCUGCUUUCCAUAGGUAAAGUAGAGAAAGUUUUUCGCUAAGAGAUGAGGCUAUACUGUAUCAGCUAGUUGGUAAGGUAACGGCUUACCAAGGCUAUGACGCAUAACUGGUCUGAGAGGAUGAUCAGUCACAUUGGAACUGAGACACGGUCCAAACUCCUACGGGAGGCAGCAGUAGGGAAUAUUGCGCAAUGGGGGAAACCCUGACGCAGCAACGCCGCGUGGAGGAUGACACUUUUCGGAGCGUAAACUCCUUUUAUCGGGAAAGAAUAAUGACGGUACCCGAUGAAUAAGCACCGGCUAACUCCGUG
rnacentral:rRNA from 1 species